rnacentral:rRNA from 1 species
UACGUAGGGUGCGAGCGUUGUCCGGAAUUACUGGGCGUAAAGGGCUCGUAGGUGGCCAACUAAGUCAGACGUGAAAUCCCUCAGCUUAACUGGGGAACUGCGUCUGAUACUGGAUGGCUUGGAUUCGGGAGAGGAAUGCGGAAUUCCAGGUGUAGCGGUGAAAUGCGUAGAUAUCUGGAGGAACACCGGUGGCGAAGGCGGCGUUCUGGACUGUUUCUGACACUGAAUAACGAAAGCCAGGGGAGCAAACGGG